GGACCUUCACAAUAGUGGGUGUAGACACCUAAUUUUGUCCCUUUCGAAAGUCAAAUUUACCCAUUUACUUCACAUUACCAUACACCUCUUUUUAGUUGAUAAUUUUUUUCACAAAAUGAUAAAAAUAAUAACCAACUCUCAACAAUCCCAUAACAAAAAAUAACAACCUACCCCUACCCCAUCCCAUACCCACGUACCCCUUACUACCACACUCCCCUACCACUACCCUUUUCACGUUUUCCCUUCCCCUUUCACUGAUAUACGCACAUCUCACAAAUAUACACCCAUCCUUACUGAUAUACAUACUCUCACAGCUUCAAUACCCACGAACAUACUCACACUCAGAACACACAAAGAGAGCUCACGAUUCCAUGAACAAAUUUACUCUCAAUUACCACAAUACACACACCAGCGUGGGGAAAGGAAAAAAAUACAUAAAAUAUAGGGAGAGACUUCCAUUUUCAUUGGGUAAUACACACAGAAGCACAAAAAUACACAGUCAACUCUCACAAUUCAGAUACCGAAUGCGCAUACACCUCACGAUUCUAUUAGGCAGAAAAGAAUUCACUCUCAAUUCAUACAUACUUAUACACAUACAUACAUAAAUCGGAGAAGGUCAAGAGAGAUGAAUGAAGGGAUACAGAAUAACUGGUGGUGAACGAGAGCUAGAAUAGAGAAACAGAGAGAGAUUAAAAAAAGGAAAAUUGGGCGGUUAGCCAUUUUUGGUGAGUUUUUCACCCGAAACUGGACAAAAUUGCUGCUAGAUUCUUCAAAAGCCACAGUUUGGCUACUGUUUCGGCAAAACCCGUCGGAUAAAAGUAUCGUCAAUUUCAUUAUGACCCAAAUUCACGCCAAAAGAGGUCAUCCUUUCCCUAUUUUCAUCUUUAACUCCAAUAAAAAAUCCCAUCGAUUGCACAAGCAGACCAGAAAUCAUACUCGUUGUGGUUAGAAUUUGAAUAUUCGAUUUGUUCGUAUUAUUCGUGGGUCUAUACCUUGGGUUCGUUGCACUAUCAGUCAAAGAAAAGAGAAAAUCAAGGUCAAGUUUUACAUUUUUGUGGGCUAGUUCGAGGUUCCAAAUUCGUGAAGCUUCUCGGUUUAAUUGAAAGCAAAGCAUAAUUGAGCUCUUAUUCUUUCUUCUCUUCCUUUUAAUUCUUAUUUGAUUGUGAACGUGAUUUGAUAUCACUAUUUUAUUCGCUGAUAUGACUUGUUGGUGACGUUUGAGUGUUGGAUUAGUGAAUGUUUGUUAUUCAUGAUUGGUGAAUGUUUGUUCUUAAAUAUUGGUGAAUGCUUGCUUAUUGAAUGAUUAAUUAAUUGGGUGAUCGGGAAUAAAUUAGGGAACUUGAGAAUCGAUAAAAAGUAAAUAUUGUGGUAUUUUGAUUCAUUAUUGAUGUUGAACGUGAUAGUAUUAUGCUUUAGGCCGAAAGUAGUAGACAAAUACUAAGUUGGAUAGGCAAAUUAUAGAAUUUGAUGAUUGUGGGAUGAUUGAAUUUUGUACUCGAGAUUGUUUU
rnacentral:lncRNA from 1 species